GUUUGUCUGCAGGACAGCGUGCUGGCGUUCUGGAGGCACGGCCUCAAGGGGAAGAGCCUGCAUACUAAUGAGAUCACUCAAGAGAUCACUGAUGAGUCAAGGGUGUUUCGAGUGCUGGGGACAAACAGGGAUAUAAUCCUGGAGAGCACCCCGACAGACAACCCCUCAGCCCUGAGUAACCUCUACAUACUGACUGGGCACGAGAGCAGCUACUGAGAGCACACCCUCCACACAGGACAGGAGGGUGCACUGACUCACAGGACAGGACCCCAACCCUGUGAGAGGGGCACUGACUCACAGGACGGGACCCCAACCCUGUGAGAGGGGCACUGACUCACAGGACAGCACCCCAACCCUGUGAGAGGGGCACUGACUCACAGGACAGCACCCCAACCUUGUGAGAGGGGCACUGACUCACAGGACAGGACCCCAACCUGUGAGAGGGGCAUUCUGACUCACCAGCUGACCUGUCCACAGGAGGUGCCUCAGUGUGUCUGAGAACUGUUAAGAACUUCCAGUCAUCGUUCAAAAACCAAGCGAUCGCAGUAAAGAGCUCUGCAUCCAAGUAUGAUGUGUAGAGUAAAGGGCUAUUUUACGAUGCCAUCUACAGUAAUACUCUGAAAUACUGACAACUGUCCUUUAGUAAAACCCUUACACAGGUAUAUACAGGACUUUAUAGUCUACUGUCAACAUGCCUGUCUAACAGCGAGUUAACUAAGUAAGUGAACUAUUCAGUGGUGAAAUUGGGGCUGUAUUUCAUUGCGUGCUUGUGUAAUAUCCCACUGCGUGUGUCUGUAUGUAUGAUUCUCUACUGCUGCUUCUGCUUGCAUCAUUAUUUGCUUACGAGCUAUUCCAGCAACUGCUUCUGAAAAGACUCCUAAGCUGAAUUUCUGAAGCGAGGUGGUUUUAGGAAUGACCACUAGGGACCUGCCCCUGUAAUUACAGCCCCCAGUCAAAUGUAAAAUCUCCUUACAAAGUUAGAAGGGGUCGGAAAGUACAGCCGGACACCACCUAGUGGAUGUUACUCAAACCUCCUCAGAAAGCAGUCAGGAGUCUUUUCAGAAGACAUUUUUUGCUGGAACCGUUAGUAAACCUGUUAAAUUAUGAUCCGAGCAGAAUACAGUCAGGGUGGCGCAGGGGUCCCCGAGGGUAAAGGCACGGUCGUGUGGUGUGCAGGGGCACUCAUACAGUCAGGGGAGCUCAGGGG